AAGACUGGGAUAACUCCGGGAAACCGGGGCUAAUACCGGAUGGUUGUUUGAACCGCAUGGUUCAAACAUAAAAGGUGGCUUCGGCUACCACUUACAGAUGGACCCGCGGCGCAUUAGCUAGUUGGUGAGGUAACGGCUCACCAAGGCGACGAUGCGUAGCCGACCUGAGAGGGUGAUCGGCCACACUGGGACUGAGACACGGCCCAGACUCCUACGGGAGGCAGCAGUAGGGAAUCUUCCGCAAUGGACGAAAGUCUGACGGAGCAACGCCGCGUGAGUGAUGAAGGUUUUCGGAUCGUAAAGCUCUGUUGUUAGGGAAGAACAAGUACCGUUCGAAUAGGGCGGUACCUUGACGGUACCUAACCAGAAAGCCACGGCUAACUACGUGCCAGCAGCCGCGGUAAUACGUAGGUGGCAAGCGUUGUCCGGAAUUAUUGGGCGUAAAGGGCUCGCAGGCGGUUUCUUAAGUCUGAUGUGAAAGCCCCCGGCUCAACCGGGGAGGGU
rnacentral:rRNA from 1 species